UGGGGAAUUUUGGACAAUGGGCGAAAGCCUGAUCCAGCAAUGCCGCGUGUGUGAAGAAGGCCUUCGGGUUGUAAAGCACUUUUGUCCGGAAAGAAAUCCUCUGGGUUAAUACCUCGGGGGGAUGACGGUACCGGAAGAAUAAGCACCGGCUAACUACGUGCCAGCAGCCGCGGUAAUACGUAGGGUGCAAGCGUUAAUCGGAAUUACUGGGCGUAAAGCGUGCGCAGGCGGUUUUGUAAGACGGAUGUGAAAUCCCCGGGCUUAACCUGGGAACUGCAUUCGUGACUGCAAGGCUAGAGUAUGGCAGAGGGGGGUAGAAUUCCACGUGUAGCAGUGAAAUGCGUAGAGAUGUGGAGGAAUACCGAUGGCGAAGGCAGCCCCCUGGGCCAAAUACUGACGCUCAUGCACGAAAGCGUGGGGAGCAAACAGGAUUAGAUACCCUGGUAGUCCACGCCCUAAACGAUGUCAACUAGUUGUUGGGGAUUCAUUUCCUUAGUAACGUAGCUAACGCGUGAAGUUGACCGCCUGGGG
rnacentral:rRNA from 1 species